rnacentral:rRNA from 1 species
GGCCAGACUCCUACGGGAGGCAGCAGUGGGGAAUAUUGCACAAUGGGGGAAACCCUGAUGCAGCGACGCCGCGUGAGUGAAGAAGUAUUUCGGUAUGUAAAGCUCUAUCAGCAGGGAAGAAAAUGACGGUACCUGACUAAGAAGCCCCGGCUAACUACGUGCCAGCAGCCGCGGUAAUACGUAGGGGGCAAGCGUUAUCCGGAUUUACUGGGUGUAAAGGGAGCGUAGACGGCAUGGCAAGUCAGAUGUGAAAGCCCGGGGCUCAACCCCGGGACUGCAUUUGAAACUGUCAGGCUGGAGUGCAGGAGAGGUAAGUGGAAUUCCUAGUGUAGCGGUGAAAUGCGUAGAUAUUAGGAGGAACACCAGUGGCGAAGGCGGCUUACUGGACGGUGACUGACGCUGAGGCUCGAAAGCGUGGGGAGCAAACAGGAUUAGAUACCCGCGUAC